CGUUGCGGACGAAGCGAACUACAUCGGGACGCUUUGGCCGCCGAGCGAAAAAAAAACACCAUUGAGCUCGACCUCAGAUCAGGUAGGAGUACCCGCUGAACUUAAGCAUAUCAAUAAGCGGAGGAAAAGAAACCAACAGGAUUGCCCCAGUAGCGGCGAGUGAAGCGGCAAGAGCUCAGAUUUGAAAUCGUGCUAAUUUUUUUGGCACGAGUUGUAGAGUGUAGGCGGGAGUCUUUGUGGAGCACGGUGUCCAAGUCCCUUGGAACAGGGCGCCUGAGAGGGUGAGAGCCCCGUGGGGUGCCGUGCGAAGCUCUGAGGCCCUGCUGACGAGUCGAGUUGUUUGGGAAUGCAGCUCCAAGUGGGUGGUAAAUUCCAUCUAAGGCUAAAUACUGGCGAGAGACCGAUAGCGAACAAGUACUGUGAAGGAAAGAUGAAAAGCACUUUGAAAAGAGAGUGAAACAGCACGUGAAAUUGUUGAAAGGGAAGGGUAUUGGGCCCGACAUGGGGAGUGCGCACCGCUGUCUCUUGUAGGCGGCGCUCUGGGCGCUCUCUGGGCCAGCAUCGGUUCUUGCUGCGGGAGAAUGGGUGCCGGAAAGUGGCUCUUCGGAGUGUUAUAGCCGGCGCCAGAUACCGCGUGCGGGGACCGAGGACUGCGGCUUCUGUCUCGGAUGCUGGCACAACGGCGCAAUACCCGCCCGUCUUGAAACAUGGACCAAGGAGUCUAACGUCUAUGCGAGUGU
rnacentral:rRNA from 1 species